rnacentral:lncRNA from 1 species
AAGGACUUUCAGGAAGUCUUAUAUAUUGAAUGCUUUAGAAAGAAAUUGGGCCCUGUCUCAGCAAGGCAGUUUUUUGCAACAGUCUGAAAGGAUAAGAAAAGGAAAAAUGUUAUUUCCUCUCGUUUCCUCAUCAGUUGCUGCAAGUCAUUAACCUCCCUUGCCUCUCAAGCUCCUUCCAUAAAGCGUGACGUCCCUGCCGAUUGUUAGAUGAAAGAUCCGAUCCUUAUUUGAAGAAACCUCCUCAGUGGAAAACGGACUGUGGCUGACGACGCCUGUCAUCUGUGCUGUCGCUGGAGGGCAGAACGCUGGUGCCCGGCAUUGUCAGGCCCUGAGUUUACCUGCAAGUGGGCACGUAUUGCCCUCCCCGGGCCUCACCAGACUCCGCUGGCUCCUGAAAACUCUCCAGCCUGACUCUGCUUUUUCUCAUUUUGUUUAUUCUUUCAAAAUAUACAGUAUACUCCUUUCAGGCAGGUGCAAGAAUUUCUGUAAUAAUUCAUGUUCUCAUUUUCAG